CAAGACUAUGUUUUUAUAUACACCAAAGUAUGUUUAAAGAAUGUCAUUAAUAGGAACUUGUUUCCUAUAAAAUUAUACAACUUUCAGCAACGGAUCUCUUGGCUCUCGCAUCGAUGAAGAACGCAGCGAAAUGCGAUAAGUAAUGUGAAUUGCAGAAUUCAGUGAAUCAUCGAAUCUUUGAACGCACCUUGCGCUCCUUGGUAUUCCGAGGAGCAUGCCUGUUUGAGUGUCAUUAAAUUCUCAACCUUCCAGCUUUUAUAAGCUUGGUUAGGCUUGGAUGUGGGAGUUGCGGGCUUCAUCAAUGAGGUCGGCUUUCCUCAAAUGCAUUAGCGGAACUUUUGUGGACCGUCUAUUGGUGUGAUAAUUAUCUACGCCGUGGAUGUGAAACAGCUUUAUGAAGUUCAGCUUCNAACCGUCCAUUCACUUGGACAAUUUUGACAAUUUGAC
rnacentral:rRNA from 1 species